rnacentral:rRNA from 1 species
UACGAAGGGGGCUAGCGUUGUUCGGAAUUACUGGGCGUAAAGGGCGCGUAGGCGGCCAUUCAAGUUAGAUGUGAAAGCCCUGGGCUCAACCUAGGAAUUGCAUUUGAUACUGUUUGGCUUGAGUUCGGGAGAGGUGAGUGGAAUUCCCAGUGUAGAGGUGAAAUUCGUAGAUAUUGGGAAGAACACCGGUGGCGAAGGCGGCGCUCUGGACCGAGACUGACGCUGAGGCGCGAAAGCGUGGGGAGCAAACAGG